UGGGGAAUAUUGCACAAUGGGGGAAACCCUGAUGCAGCGACGCCGCGUGAACGAAGAAGGUAUUCGUAUCGUAAAGUUCUGUCCUAUGGGAAGAUAAUGACAGUACCAUAGAAGAAAGCUCCGGCUAAAUACGUGCCAGCAGCCGCGGUAAUACGUAUGGAGCGAGCGUUGUCCGGAAUUAUUGGGCGUAAAGGGUACGCAGGCGGUUUAAUAAGUCGAAUGUUAAAGAUCGGGGCUCAACCCCGUAAAGCAUUGGAAACUGAUAAACUUGAGGAGUGGAGAGGAAAGUGGAAUUCCUAGUGUAGUGGUGAAAUACGUAGAUAUUAGGAGGAACACCAGUGGCGAAGGCGACUCUCUGGUCUGUAACUGACGCUGAGGCUCGAAAGCGUGGGUAGCAAACAGG
rnacentral:rRNA from 1 species